rnacentral:lncRNA from 1 species
AGUGGGCCGAGGGGGGGGGGUAGAGAGGAAAGGAAAGGGCUCCGUGGAGUUGAGCUGCUCUAUUAUUUUACCGUAAAUCUUGGGCAAUCCUGGAACUAAUUAUCGAGAGGAUAUGUCUCAAUUUGUUCUGCAUUAAUGCCACGUUGGGAAUGGAGUCGGGGCCACAGCCAGAGCAGACACUCGAGCACAUGAAAUUGAUGAACUGAGACUUUGCGCCGAGUGCCGAACACCCCAUCUGGAAUUCCAGUCUGAGAGGGGUUACAAUUAGAAUUUGUGACCCCAGAUUCAACUUUGGAGGAGGA